CCAAGAGCAUCACCGCGUGGGACCCCUUUGCGGAGAGGGCCCGCGUUUUCACAUAAAACUUGACACAAUGUAGAAUGUCUUUCUUUUUUUUGCGGUCACACGCAAUCAAUACAACUUUCAACAACGGAUCUCUUGGCUCUCGCAUCGAUGAAGAACGCAGCGAAAUGCGAUACGUAAUGUGAAUUGCAGAAUUCAGUGAAUCAUCGAAUCUUUGAACGCACCUUGCGCCCCUUGGCAUUCCGAGGGGCACACCCGUUUGAGUGUCGUGAAAUUCUCAAAACCUUUUUCUUCGACCCUUUUAUGGUCGGGAAGAGGAUUUUGGACUUGGAGGUUUGAUGCUCGCUUUUGUGUCUUGAAAGUGAGCUCCUCUCAAAGGAAUUAGCGGGGUCUGCUUUGCCGGUCCUUGACGUGAUAAGAUGUUUCGACGUUUCGGACUUGGUACUGUCUCUUGGAUGCCUGCUUCUAACCGUCCAUCUCAUGGACAAUGAUGGUGCUCUGGUCUCCUCCAACCACAUUGGCGGGGAGGCUGGACCCACAAAAAAAACCUUGACCUCAAAUCGGGUGAGACUACCCGCUGAACUUAAGCA
rnacentral:rRNA from 1 species